AACGAACGCUGGCGGCAUGCCUAACACAUGCAAGUCGAACGAGACCUUCGGGUCUAGUGGCGCACGGGUGCGUCACGCGUGGGAACCUGCCCUUAGGUUCGGAAUAACUCCCCGACAGGGGUGCUAAUACCGGAUAAUGUAUUCUGACCAAAGAUUUAUCGACUUUGGAUGGGCACGCGUUGGUUUAGCUAGUUGGUAGGGUAAAAGCCUACCAAGGCGACGCUCCAUAGCUGGUCUGAGAGGAUGAUCAGCCACACUGGGACUGGGACACGGCCCAGACUCCUACGGGAGGCAGCAGUGGGGAAUAUUGGACAAUGGGGUAAAGGCUGAUCCAGCAAUGCCGCGUGAGUGAUGAAGGCCUUAGAGUUGUAAAGCUCUUUUACCCGGGAUGAUAAUGACGGUACCGGGAGAAUAAGCACCGGCUAACUCCGUG
rnacentral:rRNA from 1 species